rnacentral:rRNA from 1 species
AGCGAACGCUGGCGGCAGGCUUAACACAUGCAAGUCGAGCGGGCGUAGCAAUACGUCAGCGGCAGACGGGUGAGUAACGCGUGGGAACGUACCUUUUGGUUCGGAACAACACAGGGAAACUUGUGCUAAUACCGGAUAAGCCCUUACGGGGAAAGAUUUAUCGCCGAAAGAUCGGCCCGCGUCUGAUUAGCUAGUUGGUGAGGUAAUGGCUCACCAAGGCGACGAUCAGUAGCUGGUCUGAGAGGAUGAUCAGCCACAUUGGGACUGAGACACGGCCCAAACUCCUACGGGAGGCAGCAGUGGGGAAUAUUGGACAAUGGGGGCAACCCUGAUCCAGCCAUGCCGCGUGAGUGAUGAAGGCCCUAGGGUUGUAAAGCUCUUUUGUGCGGGAAGAUAAUGACGGUACCGCAAGAAUAAGC